rnacentral:rRNA from 1 species
UGGGGAAUAUUGCACAAUGGGCGCAAGCCUGAUGCAGCCAUGCCGCGUGUGUGAAGAAGGCCUCGGGUUGUAAAGCACUUUCAGCGAGGAGGAAGGUGGUGAGCUUAAUACGCUCAUCAAUUGACGUUACUCGCAGAAGAAGCACCGGCUAACUCCGUGCCAGCAGCCGCGGUAAUACGGAGGGUGCAAGCGUUAAUCGGAAUUACUGGGCGUAAAGCGCACGCAGGCGGUUUGUUAAGUCAGAUGUGAAAUCCCCGGGCUCAACCUGGGAACUGCAUUUGAAACUGGCAAGCUAGAGUCUCGUAGAGGGGGGUAGAAUUCCAGGUGUAGCGGUGAAAUGCGUAGAGAUCUGGAGGAAUACCGGUGGCGAAGGCGGCCCCCCUGGACGAAGACUGACGCUCAGGUGCGAAAGCGUGGGGCAGCAAACAGGAUUAGAUACCCUGGUAGUCCACGCUGUAAACGAUGUCGAUUUUGGAGGUUGUGCCCCUUGAGGCGUGGNUUCCGGAGCUAACGCGUUAAAUCGACCGUC